rnacentral:lncRNA from 1 species
UGUCUCUUUAUGCUUCCACAUCAUGGAAGCAAAAGAGCCUAUUUCGGAGAAGAAGAUUGGCAAGUCUGGGCAGUGUGUCCCCACCUCUCUCCUGCUUGGUGCUCAGCGCUCUCCCUGGCUACCACUUCAGGCCUGUAAUGAUGUUUGUUUCUAGUCACUUUAUGGCUGUGCUGCUGCAAUUUUAGGGCCUUUUGAGCUGAAUGGCAGGAUAGCUUCCUCAGUCCUGGACUGUUCUACAAAGUACUGAAUCCCUAAACCACAGCUGGCUUCCUCCUGCCUUCAUCUUCUGCUGCCUGGAAGAUGGGGAGAAGAUUUUCAGCAACUUCUCUCAGAAUUCUUCACCUCCUUCCUGUUUUCUGUCAGAGGUUUUCUGUUAUUUCCAAUCCAUUCACUGUUCCCCAGCUUACAGUCACUCUUCCAGGGGAAACAGAUUCCACUUUACCUUGUAUCUACUUUUACUUGAAGAGGAGAUGAAGCAUGAUGGGGGGGGGCGGGGGCAGAUUUCCAUAAAUCUGGGUCAGCAGACUGGCAAGAUAGGGUGGGAGAAGUAAUCCAAGAUGAAAGCUCCAAACUCAAGGUGAUCAAACCCAAGGUCCAAUGCUGUCAAACAGAGUGCAUGUAAAACAGAGGAGAAAACAAAACAAAACAAAAAGAAAAUGAAGGAUUGAAACUAUGUAACAGAUCUGAGUGUCACUUAUGAGUCAAGCCAGCAUCACCUGAAAACAAUCAGCAACAAAACAAAACAAAACCUUAUGUUUCUACUACAUUGUGAAGGAAGGCUCAUGGGCUCCAACAGCUGAGAAACUUGAUUUCCGGGCAAAGGAAAGAUGAGGAAAAAUAGCACCAAUUAACUCUACAUCAAGACAAGAGCCCUAUUUUAGAUAUGAACUGAUUCUUGGAAACUGUAUGGCUAUAUUGUGUGAAUAUUUGUUUCUGUUUUAUUUUUUCUACAGCUUAAAGUUUGAUUUAAAUCAGAGGUUUUUAUUCCUGUCUACUUCUUCAGUUUAGGUGUAGAACUAUAUUCUGGCGACCAAUGUAAUGGGAAUGUUUUAAGAAGGUAAAUACCUUUUGUUAGGUAUCAUGAAGCCUACAUAUAGUUCAACUCUACUUGCACAAAGAAUGGUUAAGGUGAAUUUCUCUCAAAAUUAAUAACUUUGGGAAGGGAAAAAGUCUCUCUCUCUCUCUCUCUCUCUCUCUCUCUCUCUCUCUCUCUCUCUCAUUCACACACACACACACACACACAUCACCUGAAGGAAAGUCCAAACAUAUGAAAAGAUAGUAAUAGUGAUUUAUGGACCAUUUUCUCGGUGUAAAAUCCUCUGCCAAAACAAUGGGCUUACAAAAUCUUUUUUUCUCACUCAAUCCAAAGGCAUAAUCAUUUUACAUACUAAGAAACUCAAAUCACACUGAGUUUCUUGUAUAUUAGCUAUAUGAUCCUUUUUUAUAUUCUGGAUUCUAAUCUAUUCUUUAUUAUUUCAAAUUUUAUAACUUAAAAUGCUUUCCAGGACAUGUGGACUAAACUUGCUGAAAAGUAAAUUAACCUUAUUAUGCUUUAUUCCAGAUAAAGAAUAAUACUGAUAGCAUAGUUUCUUACAUUUCUCAAAAUCAGGGGGAAAAAUGACAGAAACAAAAUAUAUAGAAGUAGAAGUUUAAUUCUGUAUGGACUAGGCACAAAUUUCUCAAGUUAUUGAACUGUGUUGGUAGUAAUGAAAAAGAAAGCAUAAGAAGAAAUAAAUUAACUUGUGGGGAUUUCAACAAUAAAGUAAAGAUUUCACUAAUAAAACUGUAA